UCACUCCUUUCAAACUGAAAAUUUAUUCAACUUUUCUAUGCAACUGCAUUCACUUAUAUUUUACAAUAAUAUGAUACCUCCCUAUUUGUAUCCUGAGAUUAUUUACACACCAACCAAUCUUCAAUUAAAUUAACCAAAUUAGCUAAAACAAAUAAAUAAAAGUACGUCAAAAUUCUGCCAAGACACAUUUAUUUUAACAUUUCGACAUUAACAACUAUUUCGACAACUAAGAGCAUAUUUC
rnacentral:lncRNA from 1 species